rnacentral:rRNA from 1 species
AACGAACGCUGGCGGCAUGCCUAACACAUGCAAGUCGAGCGAGACCUUCGGGUCUAGUGGCGCACGGGUGCGUAACGCGUGGGAACCUGCCCUUAGGUUCGGAAUAACUCCCCGAAAGGGGUGCUAAUACCGGAUAAUGUCUUCGGACCAAAGAUUUAUCGCCUUUGGAUGGGCCCGCGUUGGAUUAGCUAGUUGGUAGGGUAAAAGCCUACCAAGGCGACGAUCAAUAGCUGGUCUGAGAGGAUGAUCAGCCACACUGGGACUGAGACACGGCCCAGACUCCUACGGGAGGCAGCAGUGGGGAAUAUUGGACAAUGGGCGAAAGCCUGAUCCAGCAAUGCCGCGUGAGUGAUGAAGGCCUUAGGGUUGUAAAGCUCUUUUACCCGGGAUGAUAAUGACAGUACCGGGAGAAUAAGCUCCGGCUAACUCCGUG